rnacentral:rRNA from 1 species
UACGUAGGGGGCAAGCGUUGUCCGGAAUCAUUGGGCGAAAGCGCGUGUAGGCGGCUCGACAAGUCCGCUGUGAAAGUCCAGGGCUCAACCCUGGGAUGCCGGUGGAUACUGUCGAGCUUGAGUCCGGAAGAGGCGAGUGGAAUUCCUGGUGUAGCGGUGAAAUGCGCAGAUAUCAGGAGGAACACCAAUGGCGAAGGCAGCUCGCUGGGACGUGACUGACGCUGAGACGCGAAAGCGUGGGGAGCAAACAGG